rnacentral:rRNA from 1 species
UUGGAGGGCAAGUCUGGUGCCAGCAGCCGCGGUAAUUCCAGCUCCAAUAGCGUAUAUUAAAGUUGUUGCAGUUAAAAAGCUCGUAGUUGAAUUUCGGGAUCAAUGUUUCGGUCAUGCCGUUGGUAUGUACUGAUAUUAUUGGUUUCUCACCUUCUAAAGAACCGUAAUGCCAUUAAUUUGGUGUCACGGGGAAUUAGGACUGUUACCUUGAAAAAAUUAGAGUGUUUAAAGCAGGCUCACGCUUGAAUACAUUAGCAUGGAAUAAUGAAAUAGGACAUCCGAUUCUAUUUUGUUGGUUUCUAGGAUCGAUGUAAUGAUUAAUAGGGAUAGUUGGGGGCAUUAGUAUUCAAUUGUCAGAGGUGAAAUUCUUGGAUUUAUUGAAGACUAACUACUGCGAAAGCAUUUGCCAAGGAUGUUUUCAUUAAUCAAGAACGAAAGUUAGGGGAUCGAAGACGAUCAGAUACCGUCGUAGUCUUAACCAUAAACUAUGCCGGCUAGGGAUCGGAUGAUGUUAAUUUUUUAAUGACUAAUUCGGCGCCUUACGGGAAACCAAAGUGUUUGGGUUC